UGAACAAGGUUUCCGUAGGUGAACCUGCGGAAGGAUCAUUACAGUAUUCUUUUUGCCAGCGCUUAAUUGCGCGGCGAAAAAACCUUACACACAGUGUUUUUUGUUAUUACAAGAACUCUUGCUUUGGUCUGGACUAGAAAUAGUUUGGGCCAGAGGUUUACUAAACUAAACUUCAAUAUUUAUAUUGAAUUGUUAUUUAUUUUAAUUGUCAAUUUGUUGAUUAAAUUCAAAAAAUCUUCAAAACUUUCAACAACGGAUCUCUUGGUUCUCGCAUCGAUGAAGAACGCAGCGAAAUGCGAUAAGUAAUAUGAAUUGCAGAUUUUCGUGAAUCAUCGAAUCUUUGAACGCACAUUGCGCCCUUUGGUAUUCCAAAGGGCAUGCCUGUUUGAGCGUCAUUUCUCUCUCAAACCUUCGGGUUUGGUAUUGAGUGAUACUCUUAGUCGAACUAGGCGUUUGCUUGAAAUGUAUUGGCAUGAGUGGUACUGGAUAGUGCUAUAUGACUUUCAAUGUAUUAGGUUUAUCCAACUCGUUGAAUAGUUUAAUGGUAUAUUUCUCGGUAUUCUAGGCUCGGCCUUACAAUAUAACAAACAAGUUUGACCUCAAAUCAGGUAGGACUACCCGCUGAACUUAAGCAUAUAAA
rnacentral:rRNA from 1 species